rnacentral:rRNA from 1 species
AACGAACGCUGGCGGCAUGCCUAACACAUGCAAGUCGAACGAGACCUUCGGGUCUAGUGGCGCACGGGUGCGUAACGCGUGGGAACCUGCCCUUAGGUUCGGAAUAACUCCCCGAAAGGGGUGCUAAUACCGGAUAAUGUCUUCGGACCAAAGAUUUAUCGCCGUUGGAUGGGCGCGCGUUGGAUUAGCUAGUUGGUAGGGUAAAAGCCUACCAAGGCGACGAUCCAUAGCUGGUCUGAGAGGAUGCUCAGCCACACUGGGACUGAGACACGGCCCAGACGCCUACGGGACGCAGCAGUGUGUAAUAUUGGACAAUGGGCGAAAGCCUGAUCCAGCAAUGCCGCGUGAGUGAUGAAGGCCUUAGGGUUGUAAAGCUCUUUUACCCGGGAUGAUAAUGACAGUACCGGGAGAAUAAGCUCCGGCUAACUCCGUG